UACAGAGGGGGCAAGCGUUGUUCGGAAUUACUGGGCGUAAAGGGCGCGUAGGCGGCCUGUUAAGUCGGACGUGAAAUCCCUCGGCUCAACCGGGGAACUGCGUCCGAAACUGGCGGGCUUGAAUUCGGGAGAGGGAUGUGGAAUUCCAGGUGUAGCGGUGAAAUGCGUAGAUAUCUGGAGGAACACCGGUGGCGAAGGCGGCAUCCUGGACCGACAUUGACGCUGAGGCGCGAAAGCCAGGGGAGCAAACGGG
rnacentral:rRNA from 1 species